CCUCAAAAUAGUGAAAGGCUUGUGGCUGUGCUCAGUAACUUCCACCCUCCCCUCCUUUUCUUCCUUCCUUAUGAAAUUCCCUGCUCAGCGCCUCAGUCUGCCUUUGCUACUUGCAACACCUGCAGCCAAGAAGCAGGUGGUGUUUACUCUGGGCCCACACAGGCCUGAAGCCCUCUACGCUGUGGGAGCCCAGGAAGGGCCCGGCAGGCAGAAUGACUGAGAACUGGGAGGCAGGACUGACAGUUUUUCAGCCUCUUGGUAAGAGGUUCUGCAAGUGGGGUGACUAUCAGUCCUCGUUUGUCUUGGAUAGCUUCAGUUUGGCCUGUUGUUCUGGUGUCCAGUCCAAGCUUCAGAAAGUUCCAGUAGCUGUCGUGCACGUAGCUUUGAAUCCAACUGCCUGGGUCCAGCUUAGAUGCUGAGAAAUCUUACGCAAGGCAUUUCCUGACUCUGGCAGUUAUUUACUGAGGGAUUCCUGCGUGCCGACACUGCACAUCGGUGAACUCAAGCAGCCCUCAAAAUAAAGCCACAAACCGAUAUUUGACGCCUCCACUUCAUCGAUGAGCAACGUGCUAACUCCCUAAGACCACACAGCUGAGUCGAGGAAACAACGAGAUUUAAAGUCAAAUCUUUGGGAUUCUCAAGCUGAUCUUUCCCCACCAUAUUAUACUUUCUUUCAUGGAGUAAUGAAUAAAACAUACAUUUCAAACAAG
rnacentral:lncRNA from 1 species